UAGUUUAGAGCGAAGAUAGGCACAGAGUGCUGGAGUAAAUCAGCGGGUCAGGCAGCAUCUGUGGAGAACAUGGAUAGGUGACGUUUCACAGAGUGCUGGAGUAACUCAACGGGACAGGCAGCAUCUGUGGAGGAAAGGAAUGGGUGACGUUUCGGAUCGAGACUCUUGUUCAGACUGAAUGUGGAAGUUUAGCGGACGGGGGUGGGAAUGAAUUGGAGUGAACACUUCUCCGUGGAUUGUCACCUUGUCGUGGUGGAGACGCCUGAGAGCGAUGCCGCCUGGAGCUAUGCUCCUGGUAGGGCCACCCAUGGCGGUAAGGUCGAGGGGGAGGUCUCUGACAAAGAGCAAUCCAACCAAGACCUCAACGGUGGAACAGGCGGAGGACGAUGGCUGACCUUAGUGGAGCGUCACAACGGCUGGGAAGGCGGAUGAAGGCUGCAGCAGAAAAGGGUCUCCGGUCGUCUUGGACUCCAUGCCACUGGAUCCUGACCCAGAUCUGUCAAGGACCGUGGGGUGGCUGUCUGUGCACCAGUCUCCCCACGUUAAACAAAGUCACGCACAGACGUCCUCCAACCCUGGAGAUACCCAUGGCCAGCCACGACCAAAGGGGGCCAAAGAUGACAAGCCCAGUCGAUCCAUGCUUUCAUUGUAUGUCUGCUUACAGGGCGGCCACUUUUAAAAUCAAGGGUGUCACAUUCAGCAGUCAGCUUUCCCACUCAUUCAUUAUCCCUCUGCACUGCAUAACUGGCCAAUCUUGGCAUAAAACAUUGAAUACAUAUAAACACAAUAAAUUAUUCAUCUGUUGCUCAAACAA